AUUGAACGCUGGCGGCAUGCUUUACACAUGCAAGUCGAACGGUAACAGGCCGCAAGGUGCUGACGAGUGGCGAACGGGUGAGUAAUGCAUCGGAACGUGCCCAGUCGUGGGGGAUAACUACUCGAAAGAGUAGCUAAUACCGCAUACGAUCUAUGGAUGAAAGCGGGGGACCGUAAGGCCUCGCGCGAUUGGAGCGGCCGAUGUCAGAUUAGGUAGUUGGUGGGGUAAAGGCUCACCAAGCCAACGAUCUGUAGCUGGUCUGAGAGGACGACCAGCCACACUGGGACUGAGACACGGCCCAGACUCCUACGGGAGGCAGCAGUGGGGAAUUUUGGACAAUGGGCGCAAGCCUGAUCCAGCAAUGCCGCGUGCAGGAAGAAGGACUUCGGGUUGUAAACUGCUUUUGUACGGAACGAAACGGCUCUGGUUAAUACCCGGGGCUAAUGACGGCACCGUAAGAAUAAGCACCGGCUAACUACGUG
rnacentral:rRNA from 1 species